CCAGACUCCUACGGGAGGCAGCAGUGGGGAAUAUUGCACAAUGGGGGAAACCCUGAUGCAGCAACGCCGCGUGAGUGAAGAAGUAUUUCGGUAUGUAAAGCUCUAUCAGCAGGGAAGAAGAAAUGACGGUACCUGAGUAAGAAGCACCGGCUAAAUACGUGCCAGCAGCCGCGGUAAUACGUAUGGUGCAAGCGUUAUCCGGAUUUACUGGGUGUAAGGGAGCGCAGGCGGCACGGCAAGCCUGAUGUGAAAGCCCGCGGCCCAACCGCGGGACUGCAUUGGGAACUACCGGGCUGGAGUGCCGGAGAGGUAGGCGGAAUUCCUGGUGUAGCGGUGAAAUGCGUAGAUAUCAGGAGGAACACCGGUGGCGAAGGCGGCCUGCUGGACUGCGACUGACGUUGAGGCCCGAAAGCGUGGGGAGCAAACAGGAUUAGAUACCCGCGUAAGA
rnacentral:rRNA from 1 species